rnacentral:misc_RNA from 1 species
UUUUUUUUUUUUUUUUAAAUUUUGAUGUAAACUAGAGAAAAUUGACCUUGAAAUUGGAAGCUUGACCAUUUUCUUUAGCAACAAGUAUGUUUUUCUUUUUUUAUUGCACUAUUUCCAUUCCCCAAACAAAAGUGAAGUGAAUGAUAAGAAAAUCUAAGGUAGCAACAAUUUCUCUAUGGUAUACUGAGUUUGCAUUGUUUCAAGAAAAUGUGCCCUUUUUUUUUCAGAAAAGAAACACAACAAGUUAAGUAGUACACAUCUUAAGAUAGGCUACACCGAUAAGAUCAUGAAGCAACUAGCUCCUCAACUUCUUAGGGAUCGCAAAAAUCACAUGCACACCCCAAGAAACAGAAGCACCCAAAUGAGCAAUACAAUCAGUAGCAAAUUGGCUUCACAAGGAAUAACAGCAAACCGUACCACCAAAUCCAACUUCAACAUCCUUUUUAUAGCCUUAAGAUUAGGUAGCAUACAAAGGGAAAUAUUAUGAUUCGAAACAAUGGCUUUAAUCACCGAGGCAUUGUCACACACAACAAACAACUGCUUGAUACCCAACUUCUAGGCUUGAUCUAAACCUUCUAACAAUGCCUACAACUCCACCCUCUCAGUUGAAGAUCUACCAAAAUUAGCUAUAAACCCUGAAACCCAAACACCUUUAGCAUUUUGAAUGAUCCCACCAGUUGAAGCAAGACCGAAAUUGUUAGAAACAACCUCAUCAGUGUUCAAUUUUAACCAAGACAAAGGGGGAGGAGACCAUCUACACCAUUUGAUUACUCUAGCUCUCUUCUUCACCUCACCCGAAGGAACCUUAGAGAUGAUAGAAGACAAAUUCUUGACAAAAUUUAAAAUUAAACCAACAGUUCCUUCAAUUGACCCAACUUCUCCCUUGAAGACCAACAUAUUUCUUCGCUUCACCCUCCGCAAGUAUACAAGUCAUUCAAAUAGUAAAGAAAAGAUAUUGUCCCACAGAGAUUUAUUGUUUGAGUACCAAACUAUAAAA